rnacentral:rRNA from 1 species
CGUAGGGUGCAAGCGUUGUCCGGAAUUAUUGGGCGUAAAGAGCUCGUAGGCGGUCUGUCGCGUCGGCUGUGAAAACCCGGAGCUCAACUCCGGGCCUGCAGUCGAUACGGGCAGACUGGAGUUCGGCAGGGGAGACUGGAAUUCCUGGUGUAGCGGUGAAAUGCGCAGAUAUCAGGAGGAACACCGGGGGCGAAGGCGGGUCUCUGGGCCGAUACUGACGCUGAGGAGCGAAAGCGUGGGGAGCGAACAGG